GACAGAGGUCCCGAGCGUUAGGCGGAAUCACUGGGCUUAAAGCGUGUGUAGGCGGAUCGUUAAGUACCUUGUGAAAUCCCACGGCUUAACCGUGGAACUGCGUCUGAUACUGGAUGGCUUGAGAUUGGGAGAGGGAUGCGGAAUUCCAGGUGUAGCGGUGAAAUGCGUAGAUAUCUGGAGGAACACCGGUGGCGAAGGCGGCAUCCUGGACCAACACUGACGCUGAGGAGCGAAAGCCAGGGGAGCAAACGGG
rnacentral:rRNA from 1 species